rnacentral:pre_miRNA from 1 species
AUCCUACUCCCUCCGUCCGAAAAAGUUUGUCUCUCAAAUGGAUGUAUCUAACACCAAGUUAGUGCUAGAUACAUCCAUUUGAGGAACAAACUUGGGACAAGCUUUUUGGGACGGAGGGAGUACUAG